GACGAACGCUGGCGGCGUGCUUAACACAUGCAAGUCGAACGAUGAAGCCGGAGCUUGCUCUGGUGAAUUAGUGGCGAACGGGUGAGUAACACGUGAGUAACCUGCCCUUGACUCUGGGAUAACUGCGGGAAACUGUAGCUAAUACCGGAUACGACCCUCGGAGGCAUCUCCUGGGGGUGGAAAGAAUUUCGGUCAAGGAUGGGCCCGCGGCCUAUCAGCUUGUUGGUGGGGUGAUGGCCUACCAAGGCGACGACGGGUAGCCGGCCUGAGAGGGUGACCGGCCACACUGGGACUGAGAUACGGCCCAGACUCCUACGGGAGGCAGCAGUGGGGAAUAUUGCACAAUGGGCGCAAGCCUGAUGCAGCGACGCCGCGUGAGGGAUGACGGCCUUCGGGUUGUAAACCUCUUUCAGCACAGACGAAGCGCAAGUGACGGUAUGUGCAGAAGAAGGACCGGCCAACUACGUGCCAGCAGCCGCCGUAA
rnacentral:rRNA from 1 species